rnacentral:lncRNA from 1 species
GAUUAUCUCUAGUUUUCAUAAGUUUAUUAACAAGUGUGGGCAACAGCCCCAUGCUUAAGCAUUCUCCUUUUCCUUCUGCAACUCAAAUUCAAAUCUCGUUUGUGCUUAAGUGAAAUGAUUGUUUAUUAUUAUUAUUUCUUCCCUGCUGUGCCACCACUCAAACUCUAGGCAACCUGAUUGAGAUAAAAACGGAAUCAGAUUAGGUAGGAUUUAAUUAGUUUAUUUUUUAAAAUUUUGAGGACUUAUCUCCUAAAAAUCCUCCUAGUGUCGCCCCCCUCUCCCCCAUUUCCCCACUUUUCUUUGUUUUCCACUUUUGUUGCUGUUACCUCCUCUUUUGUUGAAUUCUCUCUAUUUUUCCCUCCUUUCUUUAUCUUCUUUCUUUUUACUCAUUUGUUUCCAUAAUUUCACGUUAACACCCUCUUGAUUUCAUCUUUUGCAAUCCCUACCUACUGUGUUGCCGCCGUCCAGACUUUGAUCCUUCCUAGUGCCGUAGCUAACCCUCUGGUCUCGUUACUGGUUGUGUGUGAUUUGGAGUUUCAGUAUAAUAUCAUAAUUUUGCGAAGUGUAAUCCAUUUGUUUUAAAAAAAGCUUGUUUCCGGUUUUAUUUGAGGGGUUUGUUGGUUGUUGUUGGCUGAAUAGUGAUGGUCUAAUCGUUUUUGGUUCUAUUUAGGUGAGGAUCGUGAGGCGCAUACCCCUCCUGCGAAUUAAGUGCCUUGGAAACCUCUACUCCCUAGGGUAAGUAGUUGAAAGCCUAGUCAAGGGGCUGGCAGGUGUUAAUUUUUGCUUAGGCCGAAUGCUCUAAGGGAGCAAGGGCUGAAUGCCUUAGGCUGAUUUUCUAUUAUGGAUGCCAAUUGGUUAAGGUUUGAUGUCAUGGGCAGAGCGCGGAUUGUUGUUGUAGUGCCGACACCUCAAAAACAAUUAGGUGUAUGUUUUAACCCUACUUGAUUUGUGAGAGUAGAGGUUAAUCAAAUGUUGCGGUGUUUUAAUUAAACUCGUUCGGUUGUGACUGAGUUUUUUUUUUCUGGUGGUGGCUGAAAGUAAGUAUUCCCUUGUUAAAUUUGGUGUUAGUCGAUUGGCUAUGGGUGUGUUUCGGUUAUGGCUGAAUCCGAGUAAGUAAGUUGGGUGUCGUGAUUGAUGGUGAGUAUGCUUGAUUUGAGUUAGCUGAUUGCAUGUAUGUUUCAACGUGUUGUUGAAAGUGAUACUUGCUUGUUUUAUUUGCGAGGGCCGAACUUGCCAAUAACUUGUUUCUGAUUUGUUAAACUAUAUGUACUAUUAGCAUGUUACCGAUCUGUUUAAUAUGCAUAUGGACAUGUAUGAUUUGAGUAUGCUUAGUAUGUCAGGAUAUUUGCAUGUGCAUUGGGAUUUGGGAUAUGUUUCACUUGGAGGAAGUUUUGGCAGACUAUGAUCUACGAUUCUGGCUGUUUUCCCGCAACUCUGAUUUGGCAGGUAACCUGUGAUAUCUGUUUCUGGUAGUAUUUUCGCGAUAUAUAUCUGGCAGCUUAUCUGCAUAUUUUGAUGGCUUACGACUACAAAUUUUGGUGUUCUAGUUGGAUGGGUUCAUAGCAACCCUGUUUGGUGUGUUGGAUAGACGAAGUUAGUGUGUAGCGGUUGAGGAUAGGAUUACUCUGAAUAGUAUUAUGCAUUAUUAAGUAUGUCAUGUCGUUUGUUUUAACCUUAUUCUUAAUGCGUUUUUGAGUGAUUCUCUAAUAUUAAUUGUGAAUUUUAUACUCUUAAUAUUUUAAAUUCAUAUUUUAAUGCUUAAAACUCAGGGAGCAAGCUGCAGGAACUACACGGGCUAAAUCAUUCCACACGAGCAUGUGACCUACACAGGCGCAUGGUAGGUAGUAUCGAUUUCACGGAAUUGCGCACCAAAUUGCAAAAAAUCGCAAUUUGUAGAUUCUUUGAGAAUUUUAUGACUUAUAUAUGACAAAAUAAUAAGAUAAUAGUAACCGUCAUAGAAUAUUUAAGAAAACAACUUGAAAAACACUAUUGAAGCCGACUUUAAAACAACGUCAACAUUGAAGAUUCUCAUUUGAUUUCUUAGGAAAUUAUCAUGAGUUUUUUUAUUUUUUCAGUUAUACUUUAUCUUUGAUUUUUUUUUUUCAAACAUGAACUAAUUUUCUAAAUAUCUAGAAAAUAACCUUAUAAUGGAUUCUGUCGUUUAAUUUUUAUUUUACGCAAACGAAGAUUGGGGAUAAAACCCUAACAUGGGGGUAAUAUCUUCAAUUGUUGAGGUCCAAGUCAAUUGCCUAUAAAACAACACUUUGAAGACAAGACUUCUCCUAAAGGAGUUGAUUCUCCUCAAUAAUUGUAAUGCCACUCUUCAGUUAAAAUUUUUUUUUCUUUUUAUUUAUUUUGUGAGUUUCUAAAAUUUUUAUAGUUUAAAUUUGUAGAUGUUUAUGUUUCUCAUUUUUUUCUUCUCUAGGGUAGGAAAUGUUUUAGAGUUUUGGAGUUGUUUUUUUGUCAUUCUUAAAAAAUAUAUCUAGUUUUAGAUGUUUGAAUAUCUUACCUUAACCUAUAUUUUUAAAUUUAAAAUAAUAUUACUUUUAUUAUAAAUUAAAUGAUUCAUAUUUAUAUUAAAUUACUUUUUUAAAAAAAAUCAAAUUAAAUCAACUUUUUUAAAAAAAUUACAUUUUAGUGUCCAUUUUUUUUGGAGGUUAGAAUCUCCUUAUUGGUGUGUACAUAUAUAAUGCUUUUUCAAAUGUUUUUAAGAAUUUGUAAUAAGAUAAGGGUAGUUUGGAACUUAAGAAAAAAUCUAAGCAUUUUAGACAUUUCACAAAUAGUAACUUCCUACUACAAAACAUUGAAUUGUUCUUACAUUAAAUUCUGCAGUUUCAAAAAUAAAUAAUUUUUAUUACUGUUUUCAUCAACUAAUUUCAUAUCAAAGAUGAAACAGGAAUACGAAAGUUGAAUGCUUAUUUUACUUGCAUCAUCACAUUAUUUUCAUUUCUUAAUUUCUAUAUUGAUUUCAUCGAUUACUUUAUCAGUUUCGUUUCUUAAAUCAAUUUGAAACUAUUAAUAAAGUGAGGCUACUGUUAAUGGUAUUGUCUGAUCACAGACUGGUGAAUUUAUUAAUAAUAAAAUGAAACUCGACUCCAUAGAGAUAAAGGUAUAUUACUAUAUUUGAGUUUAUGUUUUCAUUCUUAUUACUGAUGAGAAGCUGCUCAAUAGAGAUAUGUUAUUAUAUUGUGUUUGAUUCGAUGUCGAUUAUGUCUGUUAGGUCACUUCAGAGCAUAUUCAGAUAUUAUGCUUAAUUCGAUGUCAAUUUAUCAAGGUGGAAAUCCGUUUAAAAUGGUCAACUUGGAGUUUAUUAAUGAAAUUGGUAUUUUCUUUUAUCAUAUGAAUGAUAGAUAAUUAGCACAUUGUGUAUCUCAUACUUGCCCCUCCAACUCUACA